CAGCAGUCGCCGCGGGAAUACAGAGGGUGCGAGCGUUAAUCGGAUUUACUGGGCGUAAAGCGUGCGUAGGCGGCUUCUUAAGUCGGAUGUGAAAUCCCUGAGCUUAACUUAGGAAUUGCAUUCGAUACUGGGAAGCUAGAGUAUGGGAGAGGAUGGUAGAAUUCCAGGUGUAGCGGUGAAAUGCGUAGAGAUCUGGAGGAAUACCGAUGGCGAAGGCAGCCAUCUGGCCUAAUACUGACGCUGAGGUACGAAAGCAUGGGGAGCAAACAGGAUUAGAUACCCCUGUAGUCCCUGUCUCUUAUAA
rnacentral:rRNA from 1 species